AACUGAGAUACUAUUCGCAAUACCAUCAACUGACGGUGCAGUAGUAGUAUUAGAAAUGCUUGGUUGCGUGUUAGGCGUAAGCUUUGUAUCUGCUAAUAUUUACAUUAGUUUUAGGUGCUGCUUGAGCAAUAACUCUACUUUUGAAGGAUCCGUGUUUGCUCCGACUCCGUCGCCAAACUAUCUAGGUUUGAAGCGGUUACGAGUCCGAGUUUCGAAGACGAUCAGAUACUGUCGUAGUUCUGACCAUAAACAAUGCCACCUGACGAUCCGCGUUGGUUGUAUAAUUGACAUCGCGGGCAGUCCCCGGGAAACCUUUAAGUCUUUGGGCUCCGGAGGGAGUAUGGUUGCAAAGCUGAAACUUAAAGGAAUUGACGGAAGGGCACCACCAGGAGUGGAGCCUGCGGUUUAAUUCGACUCAACACGGGAAAACUCACCCGGCCCGGACACUGUGAAGAUUGACAGAUUGAUAGCUCUUGCUUGAUUCGGUGGGUGGUGGUGCAUGGGCGUUCUUAGUCGGUGGAGCGAUUUGUCUGGUUAAUGCCGAUAACGAACGAGACUCCUACAAUGGCGGUGCCAACGAGUCUGGGAACCUGGCCCGAAAGGGUUGGGCAAACUGUUUCAUCACCGUCAUGACUGGGAUCUGGGCUUGCAAUUAUUCCCCGUGAACGAGGAAUUCCUGGUAAGUGCAAGUCAUAAGCUUGCGCUGAUUACGUCCCUACCCUUUGUACACACCGCCCGUCGCUACUACCGAUUGAAUGGUUUAGUGAGGUCGUUGCCGCUCGACUGAUGCUGAGAUGACCUAAUUUGACUAUUUAGAGGAAGUAAAAGUCGUAACAAGGUUUCCGUAGGUGAACCUGCGGAAGGAUCAUUA
rfam:Schistosoma haematobium scaffold947_32, whole genome shotgun sequence.